rnacentral:rRNA from 1 species
UACGUAGGGUGCAAGCGUUAAUCGGAAUUACUGGGCGUAAAGCGUGCGCAGGCGGCUAUGCAAGACAGAUGUGAAAUCCCCGGGCUUAACCUGGGAAUGGCAUUUGGGACUGCAAGGCUGGAGUGCGGCAGAGGAGACUGGAAUUCCUGGUGUAGCAGUGAAAUGCGUAGAUAUCAGGAAGAACACCCGUGGCGAAAGCGGCUCUCUGGAACGGUACUGACGCUGAGACGCGAAAGCGUGGGGAGCGAACAGG